rnacentral:rRNA from 1 species
CAGUCGCCACGGGAAUACAGAGGGUGCAAGCGUUAAUCGGAAUUACUGGGCGUAAAGCGCGCGUAGGUGGUUUGUUAAGUUGGAUGUGAAAGCCCCGGGCUCAACCUGGGAACUGCAUCCAAAACUGGCAAGCUAGAGUACGGUAGAGGGUGGUGGAAUUUCCUGUGUAGCGGUGAAAUGCGUAGAUAUAGGAAGGAACACCAGUGGCGAAGGCGACCACCUGGACUGAUACUGACACUGAGGUGCGAAAGCGUGGGGAGCAAACAGGAUUAGAUACCCCUGUAGUCCCUGUAUCUUAUAC